AGUAUGUGUAUGGAUUUACUCCAGAAGCAGAAUGAGGCCGCAGAGAAUCGGUGGCUGCGACUGUUUAUUAAAAACACAGCACUCUGCAAAGACGAAAGUCGACGUAUAGGGUGUGACGCCUGCCCGGUGCUGGAAGAUUAAAUGAUGGGGUGCAAGCUCUUGACUGAAGUCCCAGUAAACGGCGGCCGUAACUAUAACGGUCCUAAGGUAGCGAAAUUCCUUGUCGGGUAAGUUCCGACCUGCACGAAUGGCGUAACGAUGGCCACACUGUCUCCUCCAGAGACUCAGCGAAGUUGAAAUGUUUGUGAUGAUGCAAUCUCCCCGCGGAAAGACGGAAAGACCCCAUGAACCUUUACUGUAGCUUUACAUUGGACUUUGAACAGAUCUGUGUAGGAUAGGUGGGAGGCUUUGAAGUAGGGACGCUAGUUUCUAUGGAGCCAACGUUGAAAUACCACCCUGGUGUGUUUGAGGUUCUAACCUUGUCCCGUUAUCCGGGAUGGGGACAGUGUAUGGUGGGCAGUUUGACUGGGGCGGUCUCCUCCCAAAGUGUAACGGAGGAGUUCGAAGGUACGCUAAAUACGGUCGGAAAUCGUGUUGAUAGUGCAUUGGCAUAAGCGUGCUUGACUGCGAGACUGACAAGUCGAGCAGGUACGAAAGUAGGACAAAGUGAUCCGGUGGUUCUGUAUGGAAGGGCCAUCGCUCAACGGAUAAAAGGUACUCUGGGGAUAACAGGCUGAUACCGCCCAAGAGUUCAUAUCGACGGCGGUGUUUGGCACCUCGAUGUCGGCUCAUCACAUCCUGGGGCUGAAG
rnacentral:ncRNA from 1 species